AUGCGAUAAGUAGUGUGAAUUGCAGAAACACGUGAAUCAUCGAAUCUUUGAACGCACAUUGCGCCUCCUGGUAUUCCGGGAGGCAUGCCUGUCCGAGCGUCAUCAAAACCCUCAAGCUUGAAUUUAUUCAUCACUUGGUGUUGGAGUUGGAGUGUGCGCAUGCCAUUCCUUUCCGAAAAUCAAAGGCGGCAUUUUCUGCACCGAAUAGCGUAGUAAUCAACAUUAUGUUUCGCAUUCGGACGGAUGAUGUUCUGCCGUUAACCCCCCCAAAUCUUAAAAAGUGUUUGACCUCGGAUCAGGUAGGGAUACCCGCUGAACUUAA
rnacentral:rRNA from 1 species